GGAAGUCUUCCACCAAUGGGCGGCAAGCCUGAUGGAGCAACACCGCGUGAGUGAAGAAGGGUUUCGGCUCGUAAAACACUGUUGUAAGAGAAGAAUGACAUUGAGAGUAACUGUUCAAUGUGUGACGGUAUCUUACCAGAAAGGAACGGCUAAAUACGUGCCAA
rnacentral:rRNA from 1 species